UAAUGAAGAAUUUGGGAGAAGAUCGAAUGGAAACAAUGAAAAAACUGGAAGUAUUUAAAAAAUCAAAGAAUGAAAGUAUUUAACAAAUGAUUACAAAGUAUUUAAAACUGUAACUUCCACAUUAGCACAGUAAAAAAAUCAAGCUCAAACUUCUGUCAUAACUCAAUAGUAUAUCAAUUAUCAAUGGUAAAUUAGUGGCUAAAUAUUUGGCAUGGAAAUAACUCGAGAAAUUCUCAAGUAGUCAAGCUGUAAACACGAAUUAAGAUAUUUUGAACUAUCACAACAAAUUUUAUAAGUUAACUAACAAUCAGAUUCAAAGAAUGCCAAUGGCAAAAACACGAUAUUCUGUGGCCUCCUAAGAAUUUUAGUCUAUUCAUGUAACCUCUUAAGAGUUAAACACUUACAGAAAGAUCUUUCAUUUAAAAAAUUCGAUUUUAAUGAAGAAUUUGGGCGAAGAUGGAAUGGAAACAAUGAAGAAACUGGAAGUAUUUAAAAAAUCAAAGAAUGAAAGUAUUUAACAAAUGAUUACAAAGAAUUGUUGGUUCAGAGGAGAUCGAAUGGAAACAAUCGGUGGUUCAACAGCAAGAUCGAAUGAGAACAAUGAAAGACAGAAAGUAUUUGGGGAAAAAUACCUUUUGAUGCAGAUUUUGGGGAGAUCGGAGUCUAUUUGUUGAAGUGAUCGGAGUUUAUUUUGGGGAGAUCGUAUUCCGACGAACGGUUGUUGAAGUGAUGAUGGUUAUCGAUUCCAGCCACCGUUUAAAUAGGGAAUUUGUCAAUCAUGAAAGUAAUGUAGCAGUCAGGAACGAUUUUUUGGUGAAUGGGUUUUGUUUCUAGGGGAGGUAUGGUCGGAGGUAUGAAGUAACCUAAAGGACUGUGCGAUUGCGCGUCGUAAUCGUAGGACGGUGGUCGUGCCAUGUUCGGUAUGGGUGGACGGUAGCAGGUCACCGGGUGUCCGACUGAACGGGCAAUUUCGUACAAAUCGAAGACUUGACACCCGCUGCAGUGCACCAUGCUUUGAAAGGAAGGUACAUAUGGAUUCGUGCGCCUGCGGUGAAUUAGCGUUGAAUUGUCGGAACGGUGGACGGAAGACAAAACUACCGUGGAUACCAAAUCGGAAGGUGGUGGAGGGUGGUACCGCACUGUUGGAGGGAACGACACUAACCG
rnacentral:lncRNA from 1 species